rnacentral:rRNA from 1 species
GCCACUGCUAUUGGGGUUCGGCUAAGCCAUGCGAGUGGAGGGCGUCCCGCAAGGGAUGGCCCCGCAGACGGCUCAGUAACACGUCGUCAACCCACCUUAGGGUGGGGGACAACCUCGGGAGACUGAGGAUAAUCCCCCAUAGGCGGGGGAGGCUAGAAUGCGCCCCCGCUGAAAGCUCAGGCGCCCUAAGACGGGACGGCGGCCUAUCAGGUAGUUGGUGGUGUGACG